UGCCGGGUCGUCUAAUUGGUAGGACACCAGAGUUUGAAUCUGGGUAUAGUGGUUCGAAUCCACUCCCGGCAACAA
rnacentral:tRNA from 1 species